UCUCGCUCUCAUUUUCUCCUGUGUCUCGGGCUGAGUGCAUGCAUGAAAAGAGAAUGGAAGGGCGCACUUUCUUGGAGUGGUGUUGGACACAAUAUUCUCCCAAUUGCAGGAUUACUUUAGUCCGGAGUUAUGACCCAUGCUGACCUCCUCCACUGGGGAUUGACCCAGGAUAAGGUUUCCUUGAUUAUGACGGUGGAGCGCUGUUCCUUCAGAUGCCUACUGAUCUGCCCAGAAUGCAACUUAAUGGAAAUAGUUUAAGGAGAUGAUUGCUGAUUGUAGCUUGUCAGGUUAACAGUAAUGUUGACUCAAAGAUCCAGUGUCUUUCCAAAAGAACAUGGAUCACAUGAGGAAAAUUAACCUACUGCCUUUGAUUGCAGCUGAAAGAUCUGAGGCAAGAACAAUAUGCAUGUAGAUGGUACCAUACUACUUGAUAAUCAACCAAAUUAAGGAGUCAAAUCAUCCCAGCAAACAAAACAGGAAUUUUGAGAUGCUGCAACUAAGAUAUAGUGGUCAUUUACUUUCCUAAUAAAGUUACUGCUCUUUCUUAAA